AGAGUUUGAUCAUGGCUCAGAGUGAACGCCGGCGGCGUGCCUAACACAUGCAAGUCGAACGAGAACGGAUUACAGCUUGCUGUAAUUGUCAGCUAAGUGGCGCACGGGUGAGUAAUAUAUAGUUAAUCUGCCCCAAAGAAGAGAAUAAUUGUUGGAAACGACUUGUAAUGCUCUAUAUGCCUUUAAGACAUAAGUCUGCAAGGGAAAUAUUUAUAGCUUUGGGAUGAGACUGUACGGUAUCAGCUAGUUGGUGAGGUAAUGGCUCACCAAGGCUAUGACAUCUAACUGGUUUGAGAGGAUGAUCAGUCACACUGGAACUGAGACACGGUCCAGACUCCUACGGGAGGCAGCAGUGGGGAAUAUUGCACAAUGGAGGAAACUCUGAUGCAGCAACGCCGCGUGGAGGAUGACACAUUUCGGUGCGUAAACUCCUUUUAUAUGAGAAGAUAAUGACG
rnacentral:rRNA from 1 species